UCUGCCACGUUGGACAGAUGGAGGUAAACAGGUUUCGCGUUGUGUUGGGCUGUUAAGUCUCUUACUCUUCGUCUUCUCCGAACGACGACUCUCAUCAAUCAAUACAGUCCUUUACUUCCAAUCAAUACAUUCAUAAUGAUUUCGUUUCGCCUCCCUCUUCUCCUCCUUCUUUAUAUACAGUUCCUCUUUCGCUUUUUCCAAACCAAACUCUAGAUCUCCUCCAACCUCAAUCCAUGGCGAUGAAACCAAAUGGAUUAGCGAAACACCAUGGCGUUUCAUUUUUAAUCCUUCAUCUUGAUUUCAAUUACCAAAACACCAUCGCAGAACAUAUUGGUCAAAAGCUACAGCAGAUGUGAAUUGGUUGCAGCUGUUUCGAGACAGAGUACAUAUUCUACUAUGUCCAGUCGAGGUCAUAUAGAGCACCAGAAGUAAUUUUUGGGACUGGAACUCUUGGAUGGCUUUGUUAUCUCUCAUCAGUAACUAUUUUUCUCAUUUCCUUUCCUCAGUAUAUCAAUGUUUUUCUUUCAUUUUUGACAGAAGCAUGCAUUUUCUUUUUCUUCUUCUGGUCAAUCAGUUUCUUUGUCUUUAUUUGUAAAGGAUGGCGUGGUAUAUUAUAGUUUGUAUUGCAGGUGUGAAUGGAGAUUAUGGUGGUGCUUGAGUAAAUGAAGAAUGUUCCAUUGCAGUCAACUCCCGAGCCAAACUGAGAAUACCUGCAGAGGAAGGAUGGUUGAGCUUUGGUCGUGAUCUGGGAUAUAGACUCAAGUAAUUUGACUUGGCGAUAUCUAUGGACCUGGUCGCUGUCGACCUCUGCUUGUGCAUAUUAUUGUAUAAAAAGGGUUUUAAAACUGAUCAUCAAAAGGAAUGCUUCUUGCUCCAGUGAGAUCUUGAAUGUUGAGCAUUUGAAGCAUGCAUGUGUUUAGACAACGAAGCACAUACAGGAAAAAGGGAAAUAUGGGGAUGCCGUGAUUCCUGUGGCAAGGCGUUAAGGAGACUUAAAGUCGAAGCUACCACUAUGCAGCCUCAAUUGUUACAAGGUUAUUUUAGGAGAAGAUGCAACAACCUUUGAUUUGUUGCUAAUUACUUUAACAUAUUUUAUCAAAAAGUAGCAUUAACACGUAAUUGUUUUUUACAUGCCCAAAUCUUUGUCAACCAGAGAAGGAACUCAAUUGAUAUGUUUUUUUCU